CACACCGCCCGUCACACCAUGGGAGUUGGGUUGACCCGAAGACGGUGCGCCGACCUUGCAAGAGGGGGCAGCCGGCCACGGUCAGUUCAGCGACUGGGGUG
rnacentral:rRNA from 1 species